UAUUCUCAGGGCGGGGCGAAAUUCCCCACCGGCGGUAAAUCAGCGAACGCUGAAAGCCCGCGAGCGCUUCAGGUUGUUUCUGAAGGUCAGCAGAUCCGGUGAAAUUCCGGGGCCGACGGUUAAAGUCCGGAUGGGAGAGAGU
rnacentral:ncRNA from 1 species